UUUUUCCUCAUUUUCCCUUCAUUUUAAGUUCUUGAAAAAUUCCAAAUGACACGUCUCUUUGAUAGCCGCCAACUUUACGAAUCAUACGUCUCUGUUUUCCUAAUAUUUUGCCUUUCAAAGGUCAUGUUUCUUAAUUAGCCUCCUUCUCUUCUUCUUCUUUUUUCCUCUAGCCAGUUUGUAACCUCCAAAUCUUCCAUCCAUAAAAGGAUUUUGAUAUCUUCUGUAGAUUGAAAUUUUCCUAUCUUCCAUUCAUAAUCUUCCAAUCAUAAAGGCUUCGGUUCAUACACCGACCAAUAUGCUUCUCUUUUGCAGAUUAAAAUUCAAGAAUGAACACAUAGGUUUGAAGAUUAAAAUUUCAGAAUGAACACAUUGGUUUUCUACAUGUCCUUACUGUUUGGUACUAUAGUGAAAAAACAAAUAAUAACGAAAGGAAAUCUCUGAUUACGCACGGAUUCUUCGGCAAGGUAUUCUUUACGUUUGUGAUACAUUCUUUCUAAUCUCUCUAUAAUUUUGGCCUGUAGGGAUUUUUCAUUCGUUAUUUUCUUUCACUUUUGAAUAGUUCCUUGCCAAGAUAUAAUCUUAAAGAAUUGCUACAAAACUAUUUGAUUUAACUUAAGAAGUAGUUGAUUUAUUGUGUCUUUUAUGCUGUUUAUGUUAAAGUAAUUAACGAUAGUUCUAAAACUUAUUUGUUCUUUUGAGAUGUACUGAUUUUGUUGAUGCUUGUCUAUAGAUAUGAUUGAUGAUCUUAUCUUUUCUGUUGUUUGACAUAUUGUUUUUACUCUGGAGAAGCUCUUAGUGAUGAUUUAUGGCUCUCCCAUGCCGAUCUUAUUCAGUAAAUACAUUGUCUAUGAUACAAAUACUUAAGCAAAUGCCACACUACGAUGAGUACAUUAAUGAAAUAAAAUGGUUCCAAGAAUGACUGUUAUUGUUCCAACUUUUCAUAUUCCGAAAGGAUAAAUGUUUGAUAGAAGGCAAAGCAUCAGGGGGUUUGGAAGAAAGGUGAGACAUGUUCUGCAGUGUCUCAAAAUUGAGUUCUUGCAGCCAUCGGUACUCAAGAAGAAACGAAGAAAAUUGAAGUUGUAAAGAAGUCAAAUUUUCUGCUUUAUGAAGUUCAAUCUAUUUUUGGCAUUUAUUUUUCCCAGUUUCUUGAGCUUAAAUUGAAUUGGGGUGAUCUAAAUUGUAUUAUUGUAAUGGAUAUUUACUGAACUUCAGAUUUAGAUUUUGUUUAUCCAAGAGAUUUUUCUAUGCCCGUUUCAUUCGUAAAGGAAUGCUGUUUAUUUCUUUCUUUUCAUGCCUUUAUACUAUUUUGUUGUAGCAAAGUGGUGGUAAGUAGGACUUUUUAGUCUUGUAUUUUACUACUAAUAAGGUCAGAUUUAUGCCCUCCCUUAUUUUUUGUAUUGAGAAUUUCUUACUAGCAAUAUAUAAAAAAGUAGAAGGACCAGUAGUUUUAUUGAAACCUCCACUUCAGUUUAAAGAGAGAGGAUGACCUGCAAUAGUCUGGCUGGCCUAAGAAGGGCAGGAACUCUAUAAAAGAUUGAGGUCAUUGGAGGCUGUUUGGUUGGUGUACUAGACGUUACAAGGGUGGGAAACUCCCAAUAGCGAGAGGUAUUCAGAGCGACGGGUCAAGGAUCUUACUAGGUUAUAUUUACGUAUAACUCACUCCUUACCUGCAUGUCUAUGCACAUACUGUUGCUGAGGAUGAGGCUAGUGGCUAACGAGUUCGUUGAGUGGAUUCUGUUGCUGAGGUGAGCCACCUCAUUGUUCGUGGAGGCCGCUAUUUCAGCUCUACCUAUCUUAUGUUUAUUAUUUCUUUCGAGUUUGCAUGCCCGUCAGUCAAACUUCUAUUACUCUGUUAGAUGCUUCAUGGUCUUAGUAUGAAAUUUGGGUUAGAGAUUCAUUGUUUGAGUGCUCGUUAGAAUUUAUAAAUAAAUUAUGGUUUUAGUUGGAUAAUUACUUCGUAUUUAGUGAUACUUAAUGCAUUUGGACUUGUACGUGUU